rnacentral:pre_miRNA from 1 species
CUUCUACUGAAACAUGGAAGCACUUACUCUUUUUUUAAAAAGCACAGAAAGCACCUCCAUGUUAAAGUUGAAG